ensembl:snoRNA
GUCCAAAGUGAUUCCCUCCCCAAAGGAACUAAUGCCCCACUCGGGAAUGUAGCAACUUGGAAGAAAACUUGGCAUAUCUAAGGUCUUUGGGAAGCAAGGAAUGUGAAUUUCCUUUGCCUCACUUUGGCUGCCUACAUGC